rnacentral:misc_RNA from 1 species
GAUGAAGAACGUAGCGAAAUGCGAUAAGUAGUGUGAAUUGCAGAAUUCAGUGAAUCAUCGAAUCUUUGAACGCACAUUGCGCCCUUUGGUAUUCCUUAGGGCAUGCCUGUUCGAGCGUCAUUUAAACCUUCAAGCUCAGCUUGGUGUUGGGUGACUGUCCGCUUCACCGCGGACUCGCCUCAAAAUUAUUGGCGGCCGGUACAUUGGCUUCGAGCGCAGCAGAAACGCGAACUCGGGCCCGUCGUAUUGGCUCCCAGAAGCUAUCUUCACAAUUUUGACCUCGGAUCAGGUAGGGAUACCCGCUGAACUUAAGCAUAUCAAUAAGCGGAGGA